GCUGGAGUAACCCAGCGGGACAGGCAGUAUCUCUGGAGAGAAGGAAUGGGUGGCGUUUCCGGUCGAGACCCUUCUUCAGACUGAUGUCAGGGGAGUGGGCGGGACAGAGAUAGAAAGCAGUCAUAGACAGUAAGACCAGUGGGAGAACUGCGAUGGGGGAGGGGAUGGAGAGAGAGAGAGAGAGAGAAAAAGCAAGGGUUAUUUGAAGUUAGAGAAGUCAAUGUUCAUACCGCUGGGGUACAAGUUCGUUCCAGGUG